GAUGAACGCUGGCGGCGUGCCUAAUACAUGCAAGUCGAGCGAACAGACGAGGAGCUUGCUCCUCUGACGUUAGCGGCGGACGGGUGAGUAACACGUGGAUAACCUACCUAUAAGACUGGGAUAACUUCGGGAAACCGGAGCUAAUACCGGAUAGUAUAUUGAACCGCAUGGUUCAAUAGUGAAAGACGGUUUUGCUGUCACUUAUAGAUGGAUCCGCGCCGCAUUAGCUAGUUGGUAAGGUAACGGCUUACCAAGGCAACGAUGCGUAGCCGACCUGAGAGGGUGAUCGGCCACACUGGAACUGAGACACGGUCCAGACUCCUACGGGAGGCAGCAGUAGGGAAUCUUCCGCAAUGGGCGAAAGUCUGACGGAGCAACGCCGCGUGAGUGAUGAAGGUCUUCGGAUCGUAAAACUCUGUUAUUAGGGAAGAACAAAUGUGUAAGUAACUAUGCACGUCUUGACGGUACCUAAUCAGAAAGCCACGGCUAACUACGUG
rnacentral:rRNA from 1 species